rnacentral:rRNA from 1 species
CAUUUAGAGGAAGUAAAAGUCGUAACAAGGUUUCCGUAGGUGAACCUGCGGAAGGAUCAUUACAGAAACGCGGGGUUCUUAGAAGAAUAGAUGCCUGGCUUCGGCAGUGUGGCUCACCUCGAACGAUUUCUCGUCUACCYACACCCGUGCACCCAGUGAACGCCGUCGAGGGCGUGUGUGAGCGCCUUCGAGGGGGGUUUACUUUUAUUUACAUACCGACGCCUGUACGAAUGCAUGACGAGCUCUUCGGAGCGCAAACUCGAAUACAACUUUCAACAACGGAUCUCUUGGCUUUCGCAUCGAUGAAGAACGCCGCGAAAGUGCGAAACGUAAUGUGAAUUGCAGAAUUCAGUGAAUCAUCGAAUCUUUGAACGCAUCUUGCGCUCCUCGGUCAUUCCGAGGAGCAUGCCUGUUUGAGUGUCGUGUAAUCUCUCAUCUCCCCCUGGCCUUGUCACGAGGUCGGUGGGGAAUGGACUUGGGCGUUGCCGUCUCAAGUGAGACGGCUCGUCUCGAAAUGCAUUAGCCGUUUCACCUCGGUCCCGUAGACGACGGUGUGAUAAGAAACGUCGCCCUCGUCCGUGGACCACCGGUGGUGGCUUACAGUCGUCCCCCCGUGACACGUCAUCUGACCUCAAAUCAGGUAGGACUACCCGCCGAACUUAAGCAUAUCA